CCCUUAGAUGUUCUGGGCAGCACGCGCGCUACAAUGGUCUUCGCAAACGGAUGCAUUCUCGAAGGAGAAUGCCAAUCUUGGAAUCUAUGCCUUGGUCGGGACAGUUGCUUGCAAUUUUUCGACUCGAACCAGGAAUUCCUUGUAAUCGUGAUUCAUCACAUCACGAUGAAUACGUCCCUGCCCUUUGUAUACACCGCCCGUCGCUCCUACCGAUUGAGUGCUCCGGUGAAUAAUUCGGACUACCGCAGUCGGGAGCUCUUCUUGAUCGCGGUGGAAAGUUUAGUGAACCAAAGCACUUAGAGGAAGGAGAAGUCGUAACA
rnacentral:rRNA from 1 species